UACAGGGGGGGCAAGCGUUGUUCGGAAUUACUGGGCGUAAAGGGUUUGUAGGUGGCCACUUAAGUCAGACGUGAAAUCCCUCAGCUUAACCUGGGAACUGCGUCUGAUACUGGAAGGCUUGAGUAUGGGAGAGGGAUGUAGAAUUCCAGGUGUAGCGGUGAAAUGCGUAGAUAUCUGGAGGAACACCGGUGGCGAAGGCGGCCCUCUGGACGGUGACUGACGCUGAGACGCGAAAGCGUGGGGAGCAAACAGG
rnacentral:rRNA from 1 species